CAUGUACUCCCUCCGUCCGGAAUUACUCAACGCCAAAAUGAAAAGAAAUGAAUGUAUCUAGAACUAAAAUACAUCUAGAUACAUCCAUUAUAUGACAAGUAAUUCCGGACGGAGUGAGUAUUCA
rfam:Hordeum vulgare subsp. vulgare, WGS project CAJW01000000 data, contig: morex_contig_1631051